AUUGAACGCUGGCGGCAUGCUUUACACAUGCAAGUCGAACGGUAACAGGGUGCUUGCACCGCUGACGAGUGGCGAACGGGUGAGUAAUGCGUCGGAACGUGCCGAGUAGUGGGGGAUAACGCAGCGAAAGUUGUGCUAAUACCGCAUACGUACUGAGGUAGAAAGUGGGGGACCUUCGGGCCUCACGCUAUUCGAGCGGCCGACGUCUGAUUAGCUAGUAGGUGAGGUAAAGGCUCACCUAGGCGACGAUCAGUAGCGGGUCUGAGAGGAUGAUCCGCCACACUGGGACUGAGACACGGCCCAGACUCCUACGGGAGGCAGCAGUAGGGAAUAUUGGACAAUGGAGGCAACUCUGAUCCAGCCAUCCCGCGUGAAGGAUUAAGGCCCUCUGGGUUGUAAACUUCUUUUCUCUGGGAAUAAAAACCGGUAUUCAUAUCGGCUUGAAGGUACCAGAGGAAUAAGCACCGGCUAACUCCGUGCCAGCAGCCGCGGUAAAAC
rnacentral:rRNA from 1 species